UACGUAGGGUCCGAGCGUUGUCCGGAAUUACUGGGCGUAAAGAGCUCGUAGGUGGUUUGUCGCGUUGUCCGUGAAAACUCACAGCUCAACUGUGGGCGUGCGGGCGAUACGGGCAGACUGGAGUACUGCAGGGGAGACUGGAAUUCCUGGUGUAGCGGUGAAAUGCGCAGAUAUCAGGAGGAACACCGGUGGCGAAGGCGGAUCUCUGGGCCAUUACUGACGCUGAGGAGCGAAAGCGUGGGGAGCGAACAGG
rnacentral:rRNA from 1 species